rnacentral:misc_RNA from 1 species
GUGACACUUUUUCUCUCAAGACACUCAGAUGACUACUUGCGUCGAGGCUAUCGGGGGCCGUGGCCCCGGCGGCUGCCUUUUGCGGCUGGCGCCCCCCCUGGGGCGACCGCCGCCGGGGCAAAAAGGUAACGGUACGUUCGCGGAUGGUUUGGGAGUCGGGUUGACUCUGUAAUGAUCCCUCCGCUGGUUCACCAACGGAGA